GUGUGCUCUUAGUAGCUUAACCUAAGUGUUUCUAUAAAUAGAAACGGUGUAUAUUAUUUCUCGCCUACGCUGUUCAACACAGCAGUAGAGAAGAAACAUUCUAAAACGCGAUGUUUCGUUUUCGGUAUCCAGUUUUCAAGGAUCAACUUUGUUGAUAGAUUUAUGGUGGAGCCAAGCGGGAUCGAACCGCUGACCUCCUGCGUGCAAGGCAGGCGCUCUCCCAGCUGAGCUAUGGCCCCGCAAAUUCUAUCAAAACUAAACAACGAGUGAGUGUGUCACCACUUGGGUGACCACAGAUCCACCGAAGUGUUCUGCGUUUGUCGUUCUUCGAAAAGAACGACGUUCGAAUGUUUCCGUUGCAGGAAACGAUUCCCCAUAGAAAGGAGGUGAUCCAGCCGCACCUUCCGA
rnacentral:tRNA from 1 species